CCACCACCGCCGCCUCCUCCUCCACCACCACCACCACCAUCACCAAAGCUGGCCUGCCACCUCGAACCCCGCCAAUCCCUCGAUCCCUCGUGCUGCUGCUCGGCAGGCGUGGUCAGGACCUGAUUCCUUAUGCUGGUGACGAAGCCCUAGCUUGUUCGGAUUUUUGUGCCGGUAUCAGAACCCUUAUUGGAUAGAAGUUAGUGCGGCCAUACCAUGGGGUUCGAUAAUGAAUGUAUUCUGAAUAUUCAAUCUCUUCCUGGUGAAUAUUUUUGCCCUGUUUGCCGGACACUCAUAUACCCCAACGAGGCUGUACAAACUCAGUGCACACAUCUCUACUGCAAACCUUGCUUGACUUAUGUAGCAGCAACAACGCAAGCCUGCCCUUAUGAUGGCUACUUGGUGACAGAAGCCGAUUCCAAGCCUCUGGUGGAUAUAAAUAAAUCGCUUGCCGAGACAAUUGGUAAAGUUGCAGUACACUGUCUCUAUAACAAGAGUGGUUGCCAAUGGCAAGGAAAUCUGUCUGAAUCCAUCACACAUGGUACUGCUUGCGCCUAUGGGAACUCCCCUGUUGUUUGUAACCGCUGUGGUACUCAGAUUGUACAUCGUCAAGUGCAAGAGCAUGCUCAGCUUUGCCCUGGCGUGCAACCCCAAACACAACAGGCUGACAGUAGUCUGACACAGUCAUCAGCUGCAAUAACCCAGGCAGUCACCCAAGAUCCUUCUGCAGUUUCCUCAGUGGCACCUGCAGCAGUUCCAUCUGCAACUACAGCUGGAGCUGUAACAGCUCCUGCAGUGGCGACUAGUUCAGCUGGUGCGACCACAGCAAGCACGAUGGCUGCGGCCUCUUUCGCAGGGGCACCUGCUACUAGUCAAGGUCAAGCUGUUGCUCCCCAAACUCAAACAGCUGAGCAGUACCAGCAGCAGCUCCAGUACGAACAGUAUUACCAGCAACAUUACCCUGGCUACAACCCCUACACUCAGCAGUAUCAACAGUAUGGCCAAUACCAGCAGUACACACAACCUCAAACGCAAGUGGCAAUGCAAAAUGUUGCUCAAGUUCCUGCACAACCUGCUCCAUACGCUCAGCCCCAAUUCUUGCAGCCCUCACAGCCCCAACACAUGGUGCCAAACCAGUCCCAGAAUCAGUCUCAUCAUCCUCAAGUCCAAGCACCAGUUGUUCAGCCGCAGCCUCAGCAGAAUCCACCAUUGAAUCCAGCACCUCAAAAUCCACAGAUGCACCCACAAGUUGAUGCACAGCCUAUAGCCCAUACUCAAGUUGGUACUCAACCAUUUGCAAUGCCUACAACUCAAGCAAUAGCUUCCCAGGUGCAGCCACAUGUACAACCUCAUCCUCCACAACAUCUGCAGGCUGUGACCCAGCAUCAACAUUCGCAAAUGCAGUUUCUACCUCAGCAGCAACAUCUUCAAUCUCAGAUACAGCACCAGCAUCCACAAGUACAGCAGCAAUCGUACCCACAACCUCAGGUAUAUCAUCAGCCUCAUCCAGUUGCACAACCUCAUCCAGUUGCACAACCUCAGAAUCCUCCAGUACAUGCGGCAGCGGGUCAUCAAUCAUAUUCACAGCCUCAGCCAACAAAUCAGAUGCCACAUGGUGCUCCACUUCAGCGCCCUGCACAUGCAUCUCACCAACAGUUAGUUGGUCCUCAGCAUGCUGCACUUGUACACCCUCCGCAGGGUCAAUUUCCGUUGCAGGGCCAACAGCCAGCUAUGCAGGCUCCUCAAGGUGCUCAGCAUGCAUCACAACAUCAGCAACAUGUUGGGUAUCAUGUUCAAAGGCCACCAAUGCAUCCAAGCAUUCCUUCCCAAGCACCGCCACAAGGGUUUCCUGCUAACACUUCCGUUCCUUCACAAACAGGUCACUUGUACCAACAAGGAAUGUACUCAUCUCAACAACAUAUGCAUUCACAAUCUUUCCAGCCCCAUGGUCCACCAUUUAUACAACAGCAGCAUGUUCCAACUUCGACUAGCAGGUCUAUGAGUAAUGCUGCAACUCCACACCAGUUCCAAGAAUCUGGGAAGUCAGAAAAUGCAAGUAAUGCUACUGGCAAUACUGAAGUAGGUGAUAGUACAAAUGGAGGUGGUGAAUUUUCUGGCAUAAAACCGGAAUCUCUAGGUGAUAAAAAUGUGAACGGAGAGCAGAAUGAUUUUGCUAGUACUAGAAAAAAUGUGGCACAAACUGGCAUUACAUUGGGCGGUGCAGAUGGUUCAGACAAAGGCAAAGGAAAGGAUGAAUUAGUUGGCCAGAAUAGUAAUUCACAGCCUGAAGCUUCACACGUAUCCAAUGACCUUGAGAAAGGAGGAUCACUGCAACAUGUAUCACACAAAGAUCUGGGAGCACUGGGGUCCUAUGUGCCUCCAGGCAUGGGUCGACAACGUCUGUCUGGACCUGAUGCCAGGCCUCCUCACCAUAUGCUCACACAAGGCCAGAUGAAUCAAAUGAGGCCACCUAGUCAUAGUUUUUCUGAAAAUAUCCGGCCUCCAAUGCAGCAACACCCGUUUGGUUUAUAUCAAUCUGAAAUGGCACCAAGGAUGCUUGCGCCAAACCUUCCGCUGCCAGCACCCAUCAGAUCUGAUGACGGCAUGAUUCGGCCACCCAUGGGUGGUGGACCCUUGCCUGGACAUCACGACACAACUAUGCCUCCUUUUGCUCCAGAAAAUGUUGGCCGGCCACAUCCUGCUGGAAUGACAAAGGGCAAUGGUGUUGGCGGCGGGUCACUUGGAAAUUCCAGGGCUUUCCACGAAGAAGGGUUCAAUUCUUCACGGGAACAUUUCAGGUCCUUGGCGCCAUCAUAUCCUGGCAGAUACAAUGUCGACCCUAAAGAUAUUGAAGAGAAUAUGAAGCAAUUUCCAGGGCCAACUCAUCUUGACGGCGAGGGUUUUCAGAGAGGGCCUAGACCAUUUGAUGGUUUCGAUUCAUUACCUGGAAGGCCUCCAUUCCCAAAUAAGCCAGGCCCAUAUCCUACAGGCUUCCCUGAAGAUUUGUCAAGGAAACCCCAUUCAGUUGUUGGUCAUCCUGACUUUGUGUCACCUGGUGCAGAAUACGGCCUUCACAGGAUUGAUGGAAUGCCUAGAAACCCAGGUCCAUUUCUUCAAGGGAUGCCAGCGGGUCCUGGAGGUCUUCGUAAAGACCAACUAGGCCCUGGCAACCUUCCAGGGAACAUACAUCAUGAUUUUGGCAAUCCAGGGUUCCCUCCUACACAUUUCCACCCUGGUGAUACUUUUCUUCCGAGAAAUCUACAUGGUGCUGAACCCCUUGGACAUGGUCAAUUGCAUGGAAUUGAACCUUCUGGCCACCGGUUCCAUGGUCACGUACAUCCAGAUGAUCCAAAUCUUGAUGACUAUCCUCGACAUGGUUUUCCACAAGAAUCUGUCCGUUUCAGCUCGGGUGGAUUCUUCAGUAAUGGAGAUGUUGGUUUGUGCCGGAUAUGCAUGUUUAACUGUGGAAGUGCAGAGGACCUGGGUCUACAUGUGCAUACAAGGGAGCAUCAGCAGCAUGCAAUGGACAUUGUUCUGAAAAUGAAGCAUGAUGUUGCAAAGAGGCAGAAGAUGAUUCCUGGAGGUCCCAAGUCGUUAAACAAAAAGGUAGCUGUGAAGGGCAACUUCCGUGGAAAUAGGCGCUAGAUCUCUUGUUAUCUAGUUCAGCACUCGAUGAGAUCUGAAGGUUGCUGCCAGUGCUGUUUGGACCUAUUUGAGAGUUUGAGACCACUGAAAAUCAAGACAUGUUCAUGCAUUUGGGUUAAGAAAUUGACAAGUUUAGGAAAUUCCAUGCGAGGGCUCCACGUUCAUACAAUCGAACUUGCAUGCUUUCCUGAAGGCGGUAAGGGUAGAUAAGCAUUCAACCUUUCUUACGAAGUGAUUUAAGUUUUCCACAAAUGUGACCCAAAUAGAUGAACUGAUUAUCUCUGUUUCUCAGUUUUUUUGGUAAAUGAUUAUGUCCCUAAAUACUUGCAUGAAAUUUGCAAUUUUGUGCAUUUGUAAAACUUGACUUUAACUAGUUGGUCGUACAGACACGGUUGCUAUUAGGAGUUUAAGAACCUGUUCACCCAUCUGUUUUACUGUUCUGUGUGAUCUAAUUGCCAAUAUUAUCCAACAUUUAGCAAGUUAACCUGACAAUACUGCGCUGGCGCCAAAAGUGUGACAAGUCAUACUUUUUUGGUAUGCUUUGGCUAGAAAAUUAUUUUGUGAUACUUAAGUUGGGCCCUAAGGAAGUGCAACAAGCCACUGUUGUGGUUGUGCACUAUAUAUGACUAUCCUCAAAGGUCAAACUUACUUAACUGAGCAUGACAAUUUGGUAACAAUUCUAAAACCCCAACUUCAAACCAAGUUUCUCGAGGUUGAACCUAUGUAGAAAACCUGAACUUGAUUUGCAUAUGCAUCUGUUUGUUGCCGUUCUUUGUUUCUACUGUUUAGUAUUAUCACGUAAAAUCAUGGCGACCAAGAAGCAGCACCCAUACCCUUAUAGUUUGGGAAUCAUCCAACAUUCGUGAAUGACUAAACUUAGUCUAGAAACUAUGUUCGAAUAUAUGACUUUCUUGCUACGUACAGAAUUGGGAAAGACAAACAACAAUUAAAUGUAGUAAUCUGUCUUAGACAAAACUAUCAUAAUGUUAUAGUACCACUUAAAUACUUGGAACAUGUCCAGAAACAGCUGAAUAUAAUGUUUUGUUAUAGAUAUGCAAAAUGUAUUUAUUGACUAAUUGGAAAAAAACUGAAAAUGGUUAGCCCGUGUGGACUAAUCUUAAUGACCAUCGGAGAUUCACAUUGUAAAAUUGGCUAGUUGCCAUGUCUUUUGAAUUUGAGAAAAUCGUGAACACUUUAUUCUUCUAGUGGAUCUAUCUUGUUUUUGUUCUGUUCUAAAAAGUCUUGUAGCACCCUAUUGGGAGUUCCUGGUGAAUGUGAUGGAGCCUUGAGAAAACAGUUGUGACUGGUGUUGGCUAACAAUGACGCUACACCUGUCUUGUGUUGCUGAGCUGAUCAUCAAUAAUGUAUUUAUGAGAGUGUAUGUAUUGCACUGGCGUGACCACUUUGUUUCUUUCCCUUUUGUAUUUCCCUUUUUUAGUAUUUUUGUUGUAUUGCUCAA